GUUAUAGGGUCAAGCGAACAAGUGCAUGUGGUGGAUGCCUUGGCGAUCACAGGCGAUGAAGGACGCGGUAGCCUGCGAAAAGCUACGGGAGCUGGCAAACGAGCUUUGAUCCGUAGAUGUCCGAAUGGGGAAACCCACUCCUUUUGGAGUAUCCAUGGCUGAAUACAUAGGUCAUGUGAGGCGAACGCGGUGAACUGAAACAUCUAAGUAACCGCAGGAAAAGAAAUCAACCGAGAUUCCCAAAGUAGUGGCGAGCGAAAUGGGAAGAGCCUGUACUCUUUAUCUGUAUUGUUAGUCGAACGCUCUGGAAAGUGCGGCCAUAGCAGGUGAUAGCCCUGUAGACGAAAACAGUAUGGAAGAACUAGGUGUACGACAAGUAGGGCGGGACACGUGAAAUCCUGUCUGAAGAUGGGGGGACCAUCCUCCAAGGCUAAAUACUCGUGAUCGACCGAUAGUGAACCAGUACCGUGAGGGAAAGGCGAAAAGAACCCCGGGAGGGGAGUGAAAUAGAUCCUGAAACCGCAUGCAUACAAACAGUCGGAGCCUCGUAAGGGGUGACGGCGUACCUUUUGUAUAAUGGGUCAGCGACUUACGUUCAGUAGCAAGCUUAACCGAAUAGGGCAGGCGUAGCGAAAGCGAGUCCGAAUAGGGCGUUCAGUUGCUGGGCGUAGACCCGAAACCAAGUGAUCUAUCCAUGGCCAGGAUGAAGGUGCGGUAACACGUACUGGAGGUCCGAACCCACUAACGUUGAAAAGUUAGGGGAUGAGCUGUGGAUAGGGGUGAAAGGCUAAACAAACUUGGAAAUAGCUGGUUCUCUCCGAAAACUAUUUAGGUAGUGCCUCGUGUCUCACCUUCGGGGGUAGAGCACUGUCAUGGUUGGGGGGUCUAUUGCAGAUUACCCCGCCAUAGCAAACUCCGAAUACCGAAGAGUGCAAUCACGGGAGACAGACAUCGGGUGCUAACGUCCGGUGUCAAGAGGGAAACAACCCAGACCGCCAGCUAAGGUCCCCAAAUAUGGCUAAGUGGGAAACGAAGUGGGAAGGCUAAAACAGUCAGGAGGUUGGCUUAGAAGCAGCCACCCUUUAAAGAAAGCGUAAUAGCUCACUGAUCGAGUCGUCCUGCGCGGAAGAUGUAACGGGGCUAAGCCAUAUACCGAAGCUGCGGAUGCGUGCUUUGCACGCAUGGUAGGAGAGCGUUCCGUAAGCCUGCGAAGGUGCGUUGAAAAGCGUGCUGGAGGUAUCGGAAGUGCGAAUGCUGACAUGAGUAGCGAUAAAGGGGGUGAAAGGCCCCCUCGCCGUAAGCCCAAGGUUUCCUACGCAACGUUCAUCGGCGUAGGGUGAGUCGGCCCCUAAGGCGAGGCAGAAAUGCGUAGCUGAUGGGAAGCAGGUCAAUAUUCCUGCACCAUUGUUAAAUGCGAUGGGGGGACGGAUCGCGGAAGGUUGUCCGGGUGUUGGAAGUCCCGGUCGCUGCAUUGGAGAAGGCGCUUAGGCAAAUCCGGGCGCGGAAUUCAAGGGUGUGGCGCGAGCUCCUUAGGGAGCGAAGCAAUUGGAAGUGGUUCCAAGAAAAGCCUCUAAGCUUCAGUUUAACGAUGACCGUACCGCAAACCGACACAGGUGGGCGAGAUGAGUAUUCUAAGGCGCUUGAGAGAACUCGGGAGAAGGAACUCGGCAAAUUGGUACCGUAACUUCGGGAUAAGGUACGCCCUGGUAGCUUGAUGCGCCUGCGCGCAAAGGGUGAAGGGGUUGCAAUAAACUGGUGGCUGCGACUGUUUAAUAAAAACACAGCACUCUGCAAACACGAAAGUGGACGUAUAGGGUGUGACGCCUGCCCGGUGCCGGAAGAUUAAAUGAUGGGGUGCAAGCUCUUGAUUGAAGUCCCGGUAAACGGCGGCCGUAACUAUAACGGUCCUAAGGUAGCGAAAUUCCUUGUCGGGUAAGUUCCGACCUGCACGAAUGGCGUAACGAUGGCCACACUGUCUCCUCCCGAGACUCAGCGAAGUUGAAGUGUUUGUGAUGAUGCAAUCUACCCGCGGCUAGACGGAAAGACCCCAUGAACCUUUACUGUAGCUUUGCAUUGGACUUUGAAC
rnacentral:rRNA from 2 species